GUGGGGAAUAUUGGGCAAUGGGCGCAAGCCUGACCCAGCGACGCCGCGUGGGCGAUGAAGGCCUUCGGGUUGUAAAGCCCUGUCAUGCGGAAAGAACGACCCUGUGACGCAUACUCACAGGGAGUGACGGUACCGCAGGAGGAAGCACCGGCUAACUCCGUGCCAGCAGCCGCGGUAAUACGGAGGGUGCAAGCGUUGUUCGGAAUUAUUGGGCGUAAAGGGCGCGUAGGCGGUAAUGUAAGUCAGAUGUGAAAUACUCCGGCUCAACCAGAGAACAGCAUCUGAAACUGCAUAACUAGAGUACAGAAGAGGGAAACGGAAUUCCCGGUGUAGAGGUGAAAUUCGUAGAUAUCGGGAGGAACACCAGUGGCGAAGGCGGUUUCCUGGUCUGAUACUGACGCUGAGGCGCGAAAGCGUGGGGAGCAAACAGGAUUAGAAACCCCAGUAGUCC
rnacentral:rRNA from 1 species